rnacentral:rRNA from 1 species
AUUGAACGCUGGCGGCAUGCCUUACACAUGCAAGUCGAACGGCAGCACGGGAGCAAUCCUGGUGGCGAGUGGCGAACGGGUGAGUAACAUAUCGGAACGUGCCCAGUAGUGGGGGAUAACCCGGCGAAAGCCGGACUAAUACCGCAUACGACCUACGGGUGAAAGCAGGGGAUCGCAAGACCUUGCGCUAUCGGAGCGGCCGAUAUCAGAUUAGCUUGUUGGUGGGGUAAAAGCCUACCAAGGCGACGAUCUGUAGCUGGUCUGAGAGGACGACCAGCCACACUGGGACUGAGACACGGCCCAGACUCCUACGGGAGGCAGCAGUGGGGAAUUUUGGACAAUGGGCGCAAGCCUGAUCCAGCCAUGCCGCGUGCGGGAAGAAGGCC